UGUUCCUCUUUCCUCUUCUCUGUCCUUUUCAAUUUCAAUAGAUUGAAUUAAGAGAGGAUUCAUAGCAAAUUAAUACUGAUGUGUUGAGGGAGAGAGUUGUUGAUGGAGCCAUAGUUGAUUGAACGCAGAACUGUGUUGAGUUAGGGAGAGUGUUCUAAGAAAAAUAUGAUGUUUUUACAGAUAAGAUUAACGUUUCAAUGAGAAUCGAUAAUGGAGAUAAAAUUUACGAAUCUGAGAUUUAGAGAAACGGAAUGGAAUCAGGGAUAGUUGAUGGUCAUGGUGUCGAUCCGUCUGUUGAUUCAAACUCAACAGAAAGGAGUUACGGUUAGUGAUUGCAUUUGGGUUCAGUGGCAUAAGUGAUAUCGAAGGUUUUGACUGUUCCAGUUUUCCAAUUAGAAGUGCUGGAGAAAUCUUGUCUUUCUCGACGGAAGGAUGGGUUGCACCAAAACUCCCUAGAAGGGCUGACAAGUUCAUGCUCUAUAUACUUAGUGCUGGGAAGAAAGCUCUGGCUGAUGGUGGGAUCUCGAAAGAGGUCAUGAAUGAACUGGAUAAAACUAGGUCCUGGAAAGAGGUGGAGUAAAAAAGGAAAUUACUGUCGUUUUCAUGUAUGAUGACAUCGCGCUCAAUGAGAAAACUCUAGGCCUGGUGUCAUUAUUAACCACCCUAAAGGUGAAGACGUUUAUGCUGGAGUGCCAAAGGAUUAUGUAGGGCGCGGUGUUACUGCUCACAACUUUUACUCAGUUCUCCUUGGAAAUAAAACUGCUGUUAAAGGGGGUAGUGGAAAGGUUAUUGAUAGUGGUCCGAAUGAUCACAUCUUUAUCUUAAAGUUUGUUUUCUUAAUGCUUGUAAGGAAGAUUUAUAAAUGAUGCAGUCGUUGUUCUCGCAGCUCAUGUGUAGCUGCUAAACUUUACAAAUAAUGAUGAGUUUCUUGGCGAAAUAUUUACUUCUGAUGCUUAUCAUAUGACCGAGCCUCAUCCAGAAGGAAAAGGUGACGUUCUUUGUAUAGAGAAGGCCUUAGAUGGAUCUGGGGUUUCCCAAGUCCAUGAUCGAUCACCUAUUAGGAGCAGCUGGUCUUGUGGAAGCUGUUGUGUUGGUGAUGUGGAAGCUUUUGCAGCUGGUGCCUUUUUUUUUGUUUUCAUGCCAUCAGGUGUGUUUAAAGUUUGUCCCAAACUUUAUACAGGCACUUUAGAUGUUUUUAAGCUUAGUUACUACCUUUUUGAACUCUCUGGGUGUUGUUCUGUUGCCCAAAUUUCUGUUUCAAAAACAGUAAACACAUGCAUAUUACAUGCAUAUAUGUAAGUUUCAAUGGAAAACUUUGUUAUGAAUGUAAGUUUCUAUU